GCACCGGCUAACUCCGUGCCAGCAGCCGCGGUAAUACGGGGGGUGCGAGCGUUGUUCGGAAUUAUUGGGCGUAAAGAGCGUGUAGGCGGCCGAAUAAGUCAGAUGUGAAAUCCCUGGGCUUAACCCAGGACGUGCAUUUGAAACUAUUCGGCUAGAGUAGGGGAGAGGAAAGUGGAAUUCCUGGUGUAGAGGUGAAAUUCGUAGAUAUCAGGAGGAACACCGGUGGCGAAGGCGACUUUCUGGCCCUAUACUGACGCUGAGACGCGAGAGCGUGGGUAGCAAACAGGAUUAGAUACCCUGGUAGUCCACGCUGUAAACGAUGUUCACUAGGUGUUGGGGGUAUUGACCCUCUCAGUGCCGCAGCUAACGCAUUAAGUGAACCGCCUGGGGAGUACGGUCGCAAGAUUAAAACUCAAAGGAAUUGACGG
rnacentral:rRNA from 1 species